UACGGAGGGGGCUAGCGUUGUUCGGAAUUACUGGGCGUAAAGCGCGCGUAGGCGGCUUUGUAAGUUAGAGGUGAAAGCCCGGAGCUCAACUCCGGAACUGCCUUUAAGACUGCAUCGCUAGAACGUCGGAGAGGUAAGUGGAAUUCCGAGUGUAGAGGUGAAAUUCGUAGAUAUUCGCAAGAACACCAGUGGCGAAGGCGGCCAACUGGUCCAUUACUGACGCUGAGGUGCGAAAGCGUGGGGAGCAAACAGG
rnacentral:rRNA from 1 species